rnacentral:snoRNA from 1 species
AUUUUUCUUUUAAGAAAAAAAAUUCAUCUUACACUGACUGUAUAGAAAGAGGAGGCAAAGUAAACCUAUCCCAUAUAUAUCUCAGCCCAGGCCUUGUGCCUGAUCUGUAUUGUGAAUGGGGAGACAUAG